GGAGAAAUUCCAAUCGAACACGGAGAUAGCUGGUUCUCCCCGAAAUAGCUUUAGGGCUAGCGUCGAGGUAGAGUCGCAUGGAGGUAGAGCACUGAAUGUACGAUGGCCCCAUCCCGGGGUACUGAGUAUAAUCAAACUCCGAAUGCCAUGCAGACGUACUCGGCAGUCAGACUGUGGGUGAUAAGGUCCAUGGUCAAAAGGGAAACAGCCCAGACCGCCAGUUAAGGUCCCAAAAUGUAUGCUAAGUGGAAAAGGAUGUGGAGAUGCACAGACAACUAGGAGGUUGGCUCAGAAGCAGCCAUCCUUUAAAGAGUGCGUAACAGCUCACUAGUCGAAUGACUCUGCGCCGAUAAUUUACCGGGGCUAAGCAUACUACCGAAGCUAUGGAUCCCAAGGGAUGGUAGGGGAGCGUUCCAUGAACGGAGAAGUACGACCGAAAGGACGUGUGGAGAUCAUGGAAGAGAGAAUGCCGGUGUGAGUAGCGGAACGUGGGUGAGAAUCCCACGCACCGAAAACCCAAGGUUUCCAGAGGAAGGUUCGUCCGCUCUGGGUAAGUCGGGACCUAAGGCGAGGCCGAAAGGCGUAGUCGAUGGACAACAGGUAGAGAUUCCUGUACCCGUAUAUAUGUGAAGGAAUGACGGAGAGAGGAAGCUGCAGCCAGCGGCUGGAAGAGCUGGUGCAAGCGAGAUAUCGGGAUGGCAGGCAAAUCCACCAUCCGAAACGAGAAGGCGUGAAGCGUACGGAAAGCUACGGCGAGUACGGAAGGCAGUGGAGGAACUUCCAAGAAAAGUUUCUAACGUUAAGUAUAUAUGGCCCGUACCGAAAAUGGACACACAUGGGUGAGGAGAGAAUCCUGAGGUGAGCGAGAGAACUGUUGCCAAGGAACUCGGCAAAAUGACCCCGUAACUUAGGGAGAAGGAGUGCUCAUAGAGAUAUGAGCCGCAGUGAAACGGCCCAAGCGACUGUUUACCAAAAACACAGCUCUCUGCUAAGCCGCAAGGCGAAGUAUAGGGGGUGACGCCUGCCCGGUGCUGGAAGGUUAAGGGGAGGGGUUAACGCAAGUGAAGCCCUGAACUGAAGCCCCAGUAAACGGCGGCCGUAACUAUAACGGUCCUAAGGUAGCGAAAUUCCUUGUCAGGUAAGUUCUGACCCGCACGAAAGGCGUAACGAUUUGGGCGCUGUCUCAGCUGUAGACUCGGUGAAGUCUUAGUACCUGUGAAGAUGCAGGUUACCCGCGACUAGACGGAAAGACCCCAUGGAGCUUCACUGCAGGUUGAUAUUGGGAUUUGAUGCAGCAUGUACAGGAUAGGUAGGAGGCAAAGAGAUGGAUACGCCAGUAUUCAAGGAGCCGCUGUUGGGAUACUACCCCUGUUGUAUUGGAUUUCUAACCGGACGACGUAGAGCCGUUGACGGGACAGUGUCAGUCGGGCAGUUUGACUGGGGCGGUCGCCUCCCAAAGAGUAACGGAGGCGCCCAAAGAUACCCUCAGCUUGGAUGGAAACCAAGCGCAGAGUGCAAAGGCAAAAGGGUGUUUGACUGCGAGACCUACAAGUCGAGCAGGGACGAAAGUCGGGCUUAGUGAUCCGGCGGUGCUGAAUGGAAAGGCCGUCGCUCAACGGAUAAAAGCUACCCUGGGGAUAACAGGCUGAUCUCCCCCAAGAGUUCACAUCGACGGGGAGGUUUGGCACCUCGAUGUCGGCUCAUCGCAUCCUGGAGCUGAAGUCGGUUCCAAGGGUUGGGCUGUUCGCCCAUUAAAGCGGUACGCGAGCUGGGUUCAGAACGUCGUGAGACAGUUCGGUCCCUAUCUGUUGUGGGCGUAGGAAAUUUGAGGAGAUCUGUCCUUAGUACGAGAGGACCGGGAUGGACCUACCGCUGGUGCACCAGUUGUAUCGCCAGAUGCAUAGCUGGGUAGCUAAGUAGGGAACGGAUAAGCGCUGAAGGCAUCUAAGCACGAAACCGACUCCAAGAUGAGAUUUCCCAUACGCAAGUAGUAAGACCCCUUGAAGACGACAAGGUAGAUAGGUCAGAGAUGGAAGUGUAGAAAUACAUGGAGUUGACUGAUACUAAUGGUACGAGGACUUAAUCAC
rnacentral:rRNA from 1 species